CUGAUUAUCAAUUAAUUGAUAAAUUUCAGGAUGAGGAGGGGCGAAUAAUUUUGAUUAACAUAGAAAUUUCAGAAAGUAUAUAUACUCUAGUUAAUAUUUAUGCACCAAAUCUUCCUAAAAAUAGGAAUGUUUUCUUCAAAAAAGUAAAUGACAUGAUACAGAAAAACAGUUUAGGUAUGGUCAUAGUUGGGGGAGAUAUGAAUGAUACAUUAUCUAAUAUUGACAGCAAAAAAACAACAGAAAUAAUAAAAGAAAACAAAAACCAGUCAACAGUUUAAAAGGGUUAAUCAAAACACAUAAAUUGAUAGAUAUUUGGAGAGAUAUACAUAGAAACAAUAUACAAUUUACAUGGAGACGGAAAAAUAAGAUAAAUGAAGCUUCACGCAUAGACUACUUUCUUGUUUGUCCAGAAAUAAGGUCACAUAUAUAUUCAACAGAUAUAAGACCUGCACUUAUUUCACAUACAGAUCACCAAGCUAUAUCUUUAAAGGUAAAAGGGA
rnacentral:lncRNA from 1 species